GAGAACCACUUAAGCUCUAUUGUCUUAGCAAAUUUCAAUUAUAUAAUAGUGUUAUCAGCUAUGGUGACCAUGUUAUACAUCAGGUACUCAGACCUUAUUCAUCUUAUAAUUGAAAGUGUUUGUACCAUUAAAAGCUUGGAGAAGUACCAACCUCUCCCGAUUUCCCUAUCCCAGCCCCUAGCAACUACUUUCUACCCUCUGUUUCUAUGGGCUUGACUUAAAAAAAAAAAAAAAAGAAGUGUGGUUUUAAGUCUCUAAGUUUUGGGGUGGUUUAUUAGGUAGCAAUGGGUAAACAGAACAAGGACAUUUUCAUUUAUUUUAAAUACAUUUACAGCAUUUUGUCAAUGUUAGUGUAAUUCCAAAUUAAAUCAUUGGCCACAAUCAAGCACUGUAACCAGCAUAAGUAUUUUACAUAUCUGUUCUUCCAGCUUUUCCCUAAAAGUUGGCUAAACAUGGCUAAAAUCAUAAAAUCAUUUUCCCUUUUGUCAUUUUAAAUGGACUAGACAGUAUUCCACAGAAUUCUCCUAAUCCUUUUAAAAUGGGAUUUAUAUUUGUCUAAGCACAACAGGGUCCACACUGUCACUCUCCCUUGCUGGGGCGGAGCCCUUGGAAGCACACAGCACAAACAACAGUUGACCACUUAAGUGCUGAUAGUAUAUGAUGAACAUGAAGAGGACCAAGACUGCUUAAGUGCUGAUAGUAUAUGAUGAACAUGAAGAGGACCAAGACCACUUUAGUGCUGAUAGUAUAUGAUGAACAUGAAGAGGACCAAGACUGCUUCUGCCCUCAACCCUUCCUCUUUGAGCCAGUCCUUAGAAGGGACUAAUGAGAAAGUUAUAAAACUUGGAGGAGUUAGAAGGUGACUUUGGAGAACUAAGAGGGGCUAGAGGUGGAACAAGAGAAAAGAAAGCAAGAUUAAUAUUUGCCCUAAGAUUCUGAGAGGCAAAGGGGACUAUUAUGUUUCCUUCUGGGUGGUCCACUCCUUUGAAGACCCCAGGAGAGGUGCAGGAUUGCAGGGUAUAAGUUGUGCCUAUAAAUAAAGAUGUUGGAUUUGAUGGA